UGGAGAGUUUGAUCCUGGCUCAGGACGAACGCUGGCGGCGUGCCUAAUACAUGCAAGUCGAGCGGACUGUCCCUUCGGGGACAGUUAGCGGCGGACGGGUGAGUAACACGUAGGCAACCUGCCUGUAAGACCGGGAUAACUAUCGGAAACGAUAGCUAAGAGCGGAUAGCUGGACGGAACGCAUGUUCUGUUCAUGAAACACGGAGCAAUCUGUGGCUUACAGAUGGGCCUGCGGCGCAUUAGCUAGUUGGUGGGGUAACGGCCCACCAAGGCGACGAUGCGUAGCCGACCUGAGAGGGUGAUCGGCCACACUGGGACUGAGACACGGCCCAGACUCCUACGGGAGGCAGCAGUAGGGAAUCUUCCGCAAUGGACGCAA
rnacentral:rRNA from 1 species